UAGCUACCAUGCUCCUUUGCGGUUCCCAUAAUUCCCAGCAUCUACACAUUAUAGAGUAAUCCCUACUCUAUGAUGUGUAGAUGCUGGGAAUUAUGGGAACCGUGAGGGAGCAUGGUAGUUAGCUC
rnacentral:miRNA from 1 species